AAUGAACGUUGGCGGCGUGGAUUAGGCAUGCAAGUCGAGCGAGAACCCCGCAAGGGGGGACCGCGGCGAAAGGGACAGUAAUGUGUAGAUUAUCUGCCCUCAGGUCCGGGAUAGCUGCGGGAAACUGCAGGUAAUACCGGAUAAAAUCUCCGGAUCAAAGGUGUGAUUCCGCCUGAGGAUGAGUCUGCAUCCUAUUAGCUAGUUGGUGGGGUAAUGGCCUACCAAGGCAUUGAUGGGUAGCAGGUGUGAGAGCACGACCUGCGUCAUUGGGACUGAGACACUGCCCAGACACCUACGGGUCGCUGCAGUCGAGAAUCUUCGGCAAUGGGCGCAAGCCUGACCGAGCGACGCCGCGUGUGGGAUGAAGGCCUUCGGGUUGUAAACCACUGUCAGAGGGGAUGAAAUGCAGGUGGGUUCUCCCAUCUGUUUGCCAUAGCCUCAGAGGAAGGACGGGCUAAGUUCGUG
rnacentral:rRNA from 1 species